UACAGAGGCCACAAGCGUUAGGCGGAAUCACUGGGCUUAAAGCGUGUGUAGGCGGGUUGGUAAGUACCUUGUGAAAUCCCACGGCUUAACCGUGGAAAUGCUUGGUAUACUGCCGAUCUUGAAUCAUCUAGGGGCAGCUGGAACUGAUGGUGGAGCGGUGAAAUGCAUAGAUAUCAUCAGGAACGCCAAUGGUGCAGACAAGCUGCUGGGGAUGUAUUGACGCUGAGGCACGAAAGCCAGGGGAGCAAACGGG
rnacentral:rRNA from 2 species